UUAAACAUGCAGCGAACGGUAAUAAGAGUUUGCCCUUGAUGACGAUGGCGGACGGUGAGUAAUGCUUGGGAAUCUAGCUUAUGGAGGGGGAUACUACGGGAAACUGUAGCUAUACCGCGUAGAAUCGGGAGAUGAAAGUGUGGGACUUCGGGCCACAUGCCUAGGAUGAGCCCAAGUGGGAUUAGUAGUUGGUGAGGUAAAGGCUCACCAAGCCGACGAUCCUACUGUUGAGAGGAUGACCAGCCACACUGGGACUGAGACACGCCCAGACUCCUACGGGAGGCAGCAGUGGGAUAUUGCGCAAUGGGGGCAACCCUGACGCAGCCAUGCCGCGUGAAUGAAGAAGGCCUCGGGUUGUAAAGUUCUUUCCGGUAGCGAGGAAGGCA
rnacentral:rRNA from 1 species